rnacentral:rRNA from 1 species
AGUGAACGCUGGCGGUAGGCCUAACACAUGCAAGUCGAACGGCAGCACAGUAAGAGCUUGCUCUUACGGGUGGCGAGUGGCGGACGGGUGAGGAAUACAUCGGAAUCUACUUUUUCGUGGGGGAUAACGUAGGGAAACUUACGCUAAUACCGCAUACGACCUACGGGUGAAAGCAGGGGAUCUUCGGACCUUGCGCGAUUGAAUGAGCCGAUGUCGGAUUAGCUAGUUGGCGGGGUAAAGGCCCACCAAGGCGACGAUGCGUAGCUGGUCUGAGAGGAUGAUCAGCCACACUGGAACUGGGACACGGUCCAGACUCCUACGGGAGGCAGCAGUGGGGAAUAUUGGACAAUGGGCGCAAGCCUGAUCCAGCCAUACCGCGUGGGUGAAGAAGGCCUUCGGGUUGUAAAGCCCUUUUGUUGGGAAAGAAAAGCAGCAGGUUAAUACCCCGCUGUUCUGACGGUACCCAAAGAAUAAGCACCGGCUAACUUCGUG